UAUGAGUAACUCCGUUGCUCAAAGAUGACCGGUGUUGGGGCAUAGUUUAUGCCUAAGUAUUUUUAGUGAUUGAUGACAGUACCGCAAAGGACUAACCGUGUGUGUUAAGAUUUCAGAUAACACACGUCAACGGCACAAGACGACUCGCCCCCUCUUUCGUGGAACAGAAGCACGGUGUUCUCUACGAUUCUCUUUAUUUGAGGAUAGGAAAGCCGUACUAUUAAGAGGGGAACCGUAGUGGAAAGGUUUGGGU
rnacentral:lncRNA from 1 species